rnacentral:rRNA from 1 species
CCUACGGGUGGCUGCAGUGGGGAAUAUUGGACAAUGGGCGAAAGCCUGAUCCAGCCAUGCCGCGUGUGUGAAGAAGGCCUUCGGGUUGUAAAGCACUUUCAGUGGGGAAGAAAGCCUUGGGGCUAAUACCCUCGAGGAAGGACAUCACCCACAGAAGAAGCACCGGCUAACUCCGUGCCAGCAGCCGCGGUAAUACGGAGGGUGCGAGCGUUAAUCGGAAUUACUGGGCGUAAAGCGCGCGUAGGCGGUCUGAUAAGCCGGUUGUGAAAGCCCCGGGCUCAACCUGGGAACGACAUCCGGAACUGUCAGGCUAGAGUGCAGGAGAGGAAGGUAGAAUUCCCGGUGUAGCGGUGAAAUGCGUAGAGAUCGGGAGGAAUUCCAGUGGCGAAGGCGGCCUUCUGGACUGACACUGACGCUGAGGUGCGAAAGCGUGGGUAGCAAACAGGAUUAGAUACCCCAGUAGUC